rnacentral:rRNA from 1 species
GACGAACGCUGGCGGCGUGCUUAACACAUGCAAGUCGAACGGAAAGGCCCUGCUUUUGUGGUGUGCUCGAGUGGCGAACGGGUGAGUAACACGUGAGUAACCUGCCCUUGACUUUGGUAUAACUUCAGGAAACUGGGGCUAAUACCGUAUAGGAGCUCCUGCUGCAUGGUGGGGGUUGGAAAGUUUCGGCGGUUGGGGAUGGACUCGCGGCUUAUCAGCUUGUUGGUGGGGUAGUGGCUUACCAAGGCUUUGACGGGUAGCCGGCCUGAGAGGGUGACCGGCCACAUUGGGACUGAGAUACGGCCCAGACUCGUACGGGAGGCAGCAGUGGGGAAUAUUGCACAAUGGGCGGAAGCCUGAUGCAGAAACGCCGCGUGCGGGAUGACGGCCUUCGGGUUGUAAACCGCUUUAGCCUGUGACGAAGCGUGAGUGACGGUAAUGGGUAAAGAAGCACCGGCUAACUACGUG